UACGGAGGGGGCUAGCGUUGUUCGGAAUUACUGGGCGUAAAGCGCACGUAGGCGGCUUUGUAAGUUAGAGGUGAAAGCCCGGGGCUCAACUCCGGAAUUGCCUUUAAGACUGCAUCGCUAGAAUUGUGGAGAGGUAAGUGGAAUUCCGAGUGUAGAGGUGAAAUUCGUAGAUAUUCGGAAGAACACCAGUGGCGAAGGCGACUUACUGGACACAUAUUGACGCUGAGGUGGCGAAAAGCGU
rnacentral:rRNA from 1 species